GGGCGGGCGGGGGGGUUGGAAGGGGGACGCUACACAUGGCAAGAGAAAGAUAUCACUCAUUCGCUUGGAAAACGCUCUCGCAAAGCAAACCGCGAUAGUAGACAUGGGGGACAGCGGGGAAGAAACCGCGAUCAGGAGAAGUCCGUGCUGUGCAACAGCUCCGAAUCCGAUUAAAGUUUAUGGCGGGGAGGUUACAAGCUCACCCACCCCGCCCUUUCUCUGGAGAACCCAUUCAGCGUUCCGAUCGCAUUUAAAGCACAAAGGGACGGGAACAGUGGGAUCUUCGGGUUGUGUGGCUGAUGCGGGGAGCAGUGUGAUGCAGCGUGCUGGCAUUCCCUGCGUGCUGCUAUGUCCGGAUCUUACACUGUAAGCAACAUUUCCUCCUCUCGGAGCUUCAGAACAGCGAGGGGGAAUUUUGAUAAAUUCAAGUUGCUUGGCAAAUAUAAUAGGGAUUUGGUAUUAAUCCUACUUAACCCGCUGAGAAGAUGCUGAGCUGCCGAGUCCCCCUCCUCCGGCCGGGACUGCGGCUGUGAGCACUGAGCCUGCGCCGAGCCGGGCUUUCUCGCUGAUGCUGCAGAUAUAAAGCCGAGAAUCUCCGGCAUUUGCGGGGGUGGGUUUGUGCGUUCUGGAGAGAGUGGCCCGGCCGGGGAGAAACCCCGCAGACCUCCGGAGGGCAGCGGUCCCUUCCUCCCUGGCUCCACGCAGCGCGACUCUGCCCCUCGGGGCUCCCCGUGGAAAGAGGUGGCAACCUUCCGUCCCUCCCACGUUCACUCACCGCCCCGAAUGACAAAGGCACACUGCGAGCAGAGCGUUGAAUCACCUCAACAUCCGGCCACUUUCUCUCAAAUGUCACCGCGGUGAAUGAAAGACAGUUCGCUAUACUCGCCCUCAUGCUUUUUUUUUUUAAUUUUUUUUUUUAAUUUUUAUUUAUCUAUUUAUAAAUUCAGAAUAACCAUGUAAUGCCAGAAGUCCUCACAUGUAGAACCCGCAGCAACUUGUUUUCCCACAUGAGCUCGCGGGGGAGGGGGGAACAGCUGGAGUCGUGCCCUCUCUGUUCACACGCCGGGUUGCUUCCCACUGGAGGCCUCGCAUCGCCCUGGUACCCCUCUGCCCCCCUUGCUCCAAGGGGACAGUACUGCCACGGGAUUCACCCGUGGCGUGGGGGCAGGGCCACGCAGAUGCUAUCGGCGAUUAAAUGGCACAAAGUCAAAAGGAGGAGCGAACAGGGGACGCAGGAAUAAACAAAGUUGAAUGGAGAGCUUCCACGUUAAAGUUUAUUUCCCUCUCACCCAGUCUACGGCGGAGGUGGGGAGGGAGUGAGUAGGAUAGAACCGCUCCAGAUGCCGGGUUGGAGCCGGCGGCAGCAGCAGCGAGACUGACUCUGAGGGCUGAGCUAUCCCGCUCGCAACGCAGCACAGAACAGCACAGCCGCGGCAGGCAGAGGGUAAGGCUGGGCUUGUGGAGCGCAGCGCUUGGCUCGUCCUCCUCCUCCCUCCUCCUCCUCCCUCCUCUCUCGCUCUCUCUCUCCCUCUCUCUGUGCAUGUAGAGCAGGCGGCUGUGCUGCAGCGUCAGGGAAGAGCUGCCGAGAGAGACUCCAGCAGCUCCCACCACUUUGGGCAAAGUUGCCGGUUUAACAGCUUUUUUUUUUGCUUUUUUUUUUUUUUUUUUUUUUUCCCUGCCUUCCGAGUGGGAAGCUCCUCAGUUGCCAUUCAGCAUUUUAAAGCACAAGCUGCUCUGCCGUGAAAGCGCCCGAGCCACACUCCUCUGAAAGGCACAGGAGGGAAUACACAAUCGCAGAUAUCACCCGCCGUAGCGGUGCAGACCCCAGGAAACAACUGACUGAUUGCAUUUUAUUCGCAAAUAGAACUCCGUGUGGUUUUUUACUCGCGUCGCGGCUCUCUUCCCCUCCCCUUGCUAUUCAGCUUAUAUGGAUGUAAUUCAGAAUCUGUGUUAAUUCACGUGGGGGAUCCAGUUACAUCUCGUUCCGCUCCGGGUAUGUUAACGAGAGACCAAUAAUCGCCUUUGGACACAUAGUUUUGUCGCUAACCUUUGAACUGAAAGGAUCGAGUUCAGCUCUGGUUACCUGCAUUGGGACGGGAAGGAAGAGGCGAGAGAGAGAGGCGAGAGAGGGAGAGAGAGACUGCAAUCUCAUUUGUGAAUCGCGCUCAGUGCUGCAGCUUCAGAUUGCUAUAACACAUGCAGUGCAAAUGCAGGUAAGGCACACACACAAACUGCGGAUGCGAAAACAAACUUGGGACUGUGGUGUGUGUGUGCUCAGAUCUACAGCCUUGCAAAUUCCGGGCAAACGGCUUCUGCAGUUUCUGUCUCGUUGCUUUGUGACUAAUGACCUUGCGCAGAGUUGGUAAAAAAAAAUCCUCUCCGGAGAAAGAGCUGAACAUUGUAGGCGAUCUCUGAAGAUGGAUUUAGGUGCUUUUCUGCCAACCAAAGGGGAUAUUCCAUGGACUGCUCUGUAAUACACGGGGUGCUUCUGCUACCCAUUGUGCAGCUACCGACAUUAUUGGGAUUUUUUUUUUCUUUAUCUUUUUAAAUUAUUAUUAAUAUUUUUAAAGAACUGCCCAUGCUAAGAGGAUUUGGAGUUCUCCCGGACACGAGCCCGUUGAAUAAAGCAAAUCACAUUUUUUUUUUUUU